rnacentral:piRNA from 1 species
UAACAUUGUGGGUAAUGGCCUCUGGUGUA